rnacentral:rRNA from 1 species
CUUUUCAGUAGUUUACUACAGAAAAUGACUGAGCGGCGAACGGGUGAGUAACGCGUGAGCAAUCUACCUUAGUUACAGGGAUAGCCCGAGGAAACUCGGAUUAAUACCUGAUAUUCUUUAUUUCUCGCAUGAGAAUAAAAGGAAAGGUCAGCCGAACUAAGAUGAGCUCGCGUUCUAUCAGCUAGUUGGUGAGGUAAAAGCUUACCAAGGCUACGACGGAUAGCUGGUCUGAGAGGACGAUCAGCCACACUGGGACUGAGACACGGCCCAGACUCCUACGGGAGGCUGCAGCAGGGAAUAUUGUGCAAUGAACGAAAGUUUGACACAGCGACACCGCGUGUGGGAUGACGGAUCUAGGUUUGUAAACCACUUUCAGGAGGGAAGAAAAUGACGGUACCUCCACAAGAAGCCCCGGCCAACUACGUGCCAGCAGCCGCGGUAAUACGUAGGGGGCGAGCGUUGUCCGGAUUUAUUGGGCGUAAAGAGCUCGUAGGCGGUUCAACAAGUCGGUCGUGAAAGUUCAGGGCUCAACCCUGAAAUGUCGAUCGAUACUGUUGUGACUAGGAUACGGUAGAGGUGAGUGGAAUUCCGAGUGUAGCGGUGAAAUGCGUAGAUAUUCGGAGGAACACCAAUUGCGAAGGCAGCUCACUGGACCGCUAUCGACGCUGAGGAGCGAAAGCUAGGGGAGCAAACGGGAUUAGAUACCCUGGUAGUCCUAGCUGUAAACGAUGGAUACUAGACGUAGGAACUGGAUUGACGGUUUCUGUGUCGUAGCUAACGCGUUAAGUAUCCCGCCUGGGGAGUACGGUCGCAAGACUAAAACUCAAAUGAAUUGACGG